ACUAAAUGUCCAACAGGACCAGUCCAGAUGUUCUGCUGUCAAAUGCAUGAAGGAAACAUAAAGAGUCCCUCAUAAUAACAUGUUUUAUCUUUUAUGUGUCAUGACAGACUUUCUCUCUGUGACCUCUCAGAGAGUGACUAUGAAGUCGUGGCCUCAGCUCUGAAGUCCAACCCCUCGCACCUGACAGAACUGGACCUGACCUACAACAACCUGCAGGAUUCAGGAGUGAAGCAUCUUUUGGAUCUUGUGGAGAGUCCAGACUGCAGCCUGCAGACUCUGAGAUGGAAUACAUGGCACUGAUCAGGAGGGUGUUUGUGCUGAAAGGAUGAACUGUGUCCUGAUGAUCCAGAGGUUGAAGCAGCAGCAGCUGCUGUGUCCAGACUCUGACUGGGUCAUGUUACUGGGAGGUGGAGAGCUUCAUGCAGCAGUGACUGACAGGAAUCACAGGUGGAGAUGAGUGUCAGUGCUGCAGUGUGAACUGCUCUGAGAACAGCUGCAGUGUCAGUCAGCAGGUGGAGUCCAGCAUCCUCCCUGUGUUGUGCUGGAUGUGACAGAGCAUCAUCAGUGUCUGUGGACUGCUCUGCUGCUGCUCUGUCCUGCUUUAGUCUCUGCAGACUCCCUGAGACUCCUCCACUCCUUCUGCUCCACACUCCUCCUCCACCUCCACCUGAUCUGCUCUGUCUGAUUCCACCACAGAU